CAAAAAUCCGCCAGGGAACUACGAGCCUAAGCUUAAAACCCAAAGGACUUGGCGGUGCUCCAAACCCACCUAGAGGAGCCUGUUCUGUAAUCGAUACCCCUCGCUAAACCUCACCACUUCUUGCCAAACCCGCCUAUAUACCACCGUCGCCAGCCCACCUCGUGAGAGAUUCUUAGUAGGCUUAAUGAUUUUUCAUCAACACGUCAGGUCAAGGUGUAGCAUAUGAAGUGGGAAGAAAUGGGCUACAUUUUCUAUACCUUAGAAUAAACGAAAGAUCUCUAUGAAACCAGAUCGGAAGGCGGAUUUAGCAGUAAAGAGAAACAAGAGAGUUCUCUUUAAAACGGCCCUGGAGCGCGCACACACCGCCCGUCACCCUCA
rnacentral:rRNA from 1 species